UGGGGAAUAUUGCGCAAUGGGGGGAACCCUGACGCAGCGACGCCGCGUGAGCGAAGAAGGCCUUCGGGUCGUAAAGCUCUGUUCUUGGGGGCGAAAGAUAUGACGGUACCCAAGGAGAAAGCCCCGGCUAACUACGUGCCAGCAGCCGCGGUAAUACGUAGGGGGCAAGCGUUGUCCGGAAUUACUGGGCGUAAAGGGCGUGUAGGCGGCCAUGUAUGUCAGGUGUGAAAUGCCACGGCUUAACCGAGGCACUGCAUUUGAAACUGCAUGGCUUGAGUGCAGGAGAGGGAAGUGGAAUUCCUAGUGUAGCGGUGAAAUGCGUAGAUAUUAGGAGGAACACCAGUGGCGAAGGCGACUUCCUGGACUGUAACUGACGCUGAGGCGCGAAAGCGUGGGUAGCAAACAGG
rnacentral:rRNA from 2 species